rnacentral:rRNA from 2 species
UCGACGAGCUCUCCAAAUUGAUUUUAUGCUUGCAUAAAUGAUUUUUGGAUUCGGAGCGAGUGGCGAACUGGUGAGUAACACGUGGGUAACCUGCCCCGAAGCGGGGGAUAACAUUUGGAAACAAGUGCUAAUACCGCAUAAUUAGUUGGAACCGCAUGGUUCCAACUUGAAAGAUGGCUCUGCUAUCACUUUGGGAUGGACCCGCGCCGUAUUAGUUAGUUGGUGAGAUAAAAGCCCACCAAGACGAUGAUACGUAGCCGACCUGAGAGGGUAAUCGGCCACAUUGGGACUGAGACACGGCCCAGACUCCUACGGGAGGCAGCAGUAGGGAAUCUUCCACAAUGGACGAAAGUCUGAUGGAGCAACGCCGCGUGAGUGAUGAAGGUUUUCGGAUCGUAAAACUCUGUUGUUAAAGAAGAACAAGUGUUAGAGUAACUGUUAACACUUUGACGGUAUUUAACCAGAAAGCCACGGCUAACUACGUGCCAGCAGCCGCGGUAAUACGUAGGUGGCAAGCGUUGUCCGGAUUUAUUGGGCGUAAAGCGAGCGCAGGCGGUUUUGUAAGUCUGCUGUGAAAGCCCUCAGCUCAACUGAGGAAGUGCAGUGGAAACUACAAAACUUGAGUACAGAAGAGGAAAGUGGAACUCCAUGUGUAGCGGUGAAAUGCGUAGAUAUAUGGAAGAACACCAGUGGCGAAGGCGGCUUUCUGGUCUGUUACUGACGCUGAGGCUCGAAAGCAUGGGUAGCGAACAGGAUUAGAUACCCUGGUAGUCCAUGCCGUAAACGAUGAAUACUAGGUGUUGGAGGGUUUCCGCCCUUCAGUGCCGCAGCUAACGCAUUAAGUAUUCCGCCUGGGGAGUACGACCGCAAGGUUGAAACUCAAAGGAAUUGACGGGGGCCCGCACAAGUGGUGGAGCAUGUGGUUUAAUUCGAUGCUACGCGAAGAACCUUACCAGCUCUUGACAUCUUCUGCCAACCCAAGAGAUUGGGCGUUCCCUUCGGGGACAGAAUGACAGGUGGUGCAUGGUUGUCGUCAGCUCGUGUCGUGAGAUGUUGGGUUAAGUCCCGCAACGAGCGCAACCCUUAUUAUUAGUUGCCAGCAUUUAGUUGGGCACUCUAGUGAGACUGCCGGUGAUAAACCGGAGGAAGGUGGGGACGACGUCAAAUCAUCAUGCCCCUUAUGAGCUGGGCUACACACGUGCUACAAUGGAUGGUACAACGAGUCGCGAAACCGCGAGGUCAAGCUAAUCUCUUAAAGCCAUUCUCAGUUCGGAUUGCAGGCUGCAACUCGCCUGCAUGAA